AAUCUCUAUAAAUUAAUAUUCAUAAAUUAAUAACCUCUAUAAAUUAAUAAAUUUU
rnacentral:sRNA from 1 species